rnacentral:snoRNA from 1 species
GCUGGCAAUGAUGACACUCUUGCCCUCACCGAGAUCCCUCGCGGGGGUCGUUGUUGAGAGCAUCCUCUGUGCGCAUCGUGGACUGAGCCUCC